UGGGGAAUUUUGGACAAUGGGGGCAACCCUGAUCCAGCAAUGCCGCGUGUGUGAAGAAGGCCUUCGGGUUGUAAAGCACUUUUGUCCGGAAAGAAAUCGCCCUGGCUAAUAUCCGGGGUGGAUGACGGUACUGGAAGAAUAAGCACCGGCUAACUACGUGCCAGCAGCCGCGGUAAUACGUAGGGUGCGAGCGUUAAUCGGAAUUACUGGGCGUAAAGCGUGCGCAGGCGGUUGUGCAAGACAGAUGUGAAAUCCCCCGGGGCUUAACCUGGGGAAAUGGCCAUUUUGUGACUGCACGGCUAGAGUGUGUCAGAGGGGGGUAGAAUUCCACGUGUAGCAGUGAAAUGCGUAGAUAUGUGGAGGAACACCGAUGGCGAAGGCAGCCCCCUGGGAUAACACUGACGCUCAUGCACGAAAGCGUGGGGAGCAAACAGGAUUAGAUACCCUGGUAGUCCACGCCCUAAACGAUGUCAACUAGUUGUCGGGUCUUAAUUGACUUGGU
rnacentral:rRNA from 1 species